ACCUUUUCAUCUCUGCUUUUGCAUGAUAACUUGGUGGAAUUUUCGCUCUUCAUUGAUGGUGUUUCAUUGUUAUGCUACGCCGAAUGCUGAUAAGUUCCUCUGGAUUAGUCAGAGCAUUAUGAAUAGUGGCUGUUAGUUAUAUCUAUACAAGAUUGUUACAUUGAAAAUCGUUUUUAGGAUUGCUGUCUGUAUAGGAUGCAAUUAAAAAGAUGGAAGUUGGUCACGUCAAAAAUCAUUCCCAGUUGGGACCAGGAGAAGGAUCAUUGGAUAUGUAGAAUGGGAUUCCUAAUCCCAGUCCCAAAUAUCCUACUUUGCCUAUUUAAUUAGGACUCAACCUCAUAGUAAAUGAAAUUAGGCCCCAGUUCUCACUGUCCAUGAUCCAUUGUGCGUCUAAAACAAUAUCUAAAGGCCAAACCUGCUAAUUAGGGCUAACUUUGGGGAUUGAACUAUGAGGGGAUUAUAAAUGAGAAUGAGGUGCCGCCCUCAUCCUGAAUUAGAUUGGAUGGAAGAUUUAAUUGGUGGUUGUGGCAAGGCUGAAGAUACUUUCUAUACAGACUUGGGUGAAUCCAUAAGCUUUUCACUGGAGUAAGAAUAGCUUUUUAUUGCUGGAGUUGGAAGUGGGCUCUAUCUUCAUGAGAGCUUGGGUUGGGGUAAUGGAAGGUCUUCUGUGCCUCCACAAACAGCAGUGCAGCACAAUGCGAACACCUUUGUACAGCAACCAUCUCUUCUGGCUGGGGACGGAAUUCUUUUUUACGUCAUAGCAUAUAGCUCUUUACCCUGUUUAUUUCUUUCAUCCUGCUGUCUUCUUCUUUUCACCGCCAUUAUCUGGUUUUGCGAUUGUUUUAUUCUCUUCUUUACUUUUGGCCCAGAUGCUUCUCUAGUUAACUUUCAUUAAGAGGUAGGAGAGCUUCUUCAGUGAUGUGCUUCUGCUGUGGUGAUGCUCCUGCUUUUAUCUUCUACUUUUGAGCUUCAUUCCCUCUUUUCAAAGAUAACAUACAGGUGUUAGUACAGAAAAAAGUUUAAGAAUCUAUCACUUUAUACCUUAAUUUUCUGUAGUCUCAUGAUCAUUGAUCUAAAGUAUGGUCCAAUUUCAAUCAUUUAGGAUCAAUCUUAACAACCUUUACCUUAAGGGUUAGAUUUUAUACUGCAGGGAUUGCCUCCCGUAUGUGUAUUGAUUAGAUCAUGAACAGUCGUUUUGUGUAGCUGUGACAUGCCAUCUAUGUAUAACUAUCUAAAAACGAAUGUGCUUGCCAUAUCGAAGUGGGAAUUGGCUCAAGGCAAUCUGUUGGGAUGCAAGAUCUCAGGCCUGGUGCUUGUGCUCUAGAAUCUAGCUGUGACAGCAAUGGUGCAGCAGGCUAUGCAAUAUGUUGGCCAGACAACUAAUCUUGAGACCAAGAUAGAGCUUAUCAAGACACUUAACUCUGUUGCCCCUGGGAAGGUAGAAACUUUUGGAGCAAUGGCAAGGACGGAGAAAAUUGCCUUUAUUUUUCAACAAGUUCGUUUGUGCUUAGAUCGCCAGGAUUAUGUCUGUGCACAUAUCCUUUCCAGGAAGAUCAGCUCCCUGAGUGUUUGAUGCAGAUCCUUCCAAAGAGAAGAAAAGGCCUAAAGAAGGUGAAAACAUUGUCGAACUAGCGCCAGCUGAUUUUCCGUCACUUCUGGAGUUGAAAUGGAUAUACUAUGACCCGUGACACGGUUCUAAGGAAAAUCUGCUGGUACUUAGUUCUAUAACCAUAUGAUCCUAUGCAGUCAAGCCUUCUUAAUGCCACUUUAGAGGAUGAACAUCUAUCAGAAAUUCCCCAAUUCAGGUUGCUGCUGAAACAAUUGGUCACAGUGGAGGUUAUCCAACGGACUUCUCUUUAAAGUACUGUCAAAGAAGAAUUUGAGAAUGAGAAAACAUGCUAGGAGAUGCACUGGUUGAGAAGGCAGCAGAAAAUCUUAGACAGGGCCUGAUCAUUGUCAAAAGAAGAAUUUUGGCUUCUCCUGGGCGAGACAAGCUACCUUUAGCUUGGAGCCUCUUCAGAGAAUCUUUGAACAUGAAGCUGAGAAGCAUCUCUCCUUAAUGGUUGUUUCCAAGUCCCUGGUGGCAAAGAUAGACUGACCAAUGGGAAUUGUCGGUUUCCAAACGACGAAGGACCGCAAUGAGAUUUUGAACUCAGGGGCGACAACUUUGGAAAAGCUGCUUGACCUUGUCGAGAAAAGUUGCCACCAAAUCCCCAAGGAAACCACAGUUCAUAAAGCUGCUUUGAGAGCUUGAAGAUGUUUUUAGUUGAAUGAAUGAUCUCUCUCCCCUUGAGCCUCCCUCUUUCUCUCUCUCACCGAAGAAUGCUGUUUCACAUUGUGGUCUGAAGUGGGGACUGGAGAUAUUCACCAUAGAACUCUCGUGUAGCUGUCUUGAAUUUGAUUGCAUAUUUUGCAGGUGGAACAGAUCCGGGCCUUGUUUCGGACUGAAAUGAUUUACUGAAUACACUUUCUAUAUAGGAACGUAGUUUGGUCUUUUCAGCUUUCUUCUUUCCUCUUUACCCCCUCCUUUUAAUUGAAGAUUUGUGGGCUUUAAGGGUCCAGAACUUGUACCAAUGGGAAACGUAUCAGCACAUGCACUCAUUUGGAUUGAAAUAAGCGCCUUGUUACAGAA